CAGCAGCCGCGGUAAAACGGAGGGAGCUAGCGUUGUUCGGAAUCACUGGGCGUAAAGCGCACGUAGGCGGCUAUUCAAGUCAGGGGUGAAAGCCCGGGGCUCAACCCCGGAACUGCCUUUGAAACUAGAUAGCUUGAAUCUUGGAGAGGCGAGUGGAAUUCCGAGUGUAGAGGUGAAAUUCGUAGAUAUUCGGAAGAACACCAGUGGCGAAGGCGACUCGCUGGACAAGUAUUGACGCUGAGGUGCGAAAGCGUGGGGAGCAAACAGGAUUAGAUACCCGCGUAGUCCCUGUCUCUUAUAC
rnacentral:rRNA from 1 species